UUUAAGCUUCCAGAUCAUUUACUUGAUAUGCUGAAUAGAAAACAAUAAAUUCAAACGUUUGAUUUGGUUUGCCUUAAUCGCAGUACCUCAGCUAAAGAAAACCUAAUUAAAUUAGAUUAGACAAGAUUACAGCCGGUGAAAGCUCUACAAAUUUGAUCGGUACAAUGAUAAAUUGUUGAAAAUAAGUUAUAGACUGAUAUGGAAAAAGGAACAAACGCUUUAUUCUCGACAUCGCAUCAGCUUUGUAAAAACAGUAUUCGAUUGAAAAAUAAAACUAAGGAAUCGACACACUCUGGCUAUUUCAAAAUUGCAAUAAAUACAUUAAAUUUUUAUUAUAAUCCUCAAAAAACAUCUCGAGGAAGCGAAUAAGUAUGGAUAUAAGUCAACAAAACGUUUUUAAGGUUGAGCUACGCACGUUGGAUGAUUAUCAUCGACGCCUGGCCCAUUUGCUGGAGCGGAUGGAGCGCCUGGAAGCCUCAUUGAAAUCGCUUCCUUUGGCCAGUCGUCUAUGUAACGUGGAUGCCGUGGAGGAGACAAUGCUUGACGAUGAUGCUCAGGAAAGUGAACAGCACAAAGAAAAUAUUGAAGAUGUACAAUCUGAGAUGUAAUUAAUCAACUAGAAGGACACACAAAUGUAACUAAACAAACAAUUCAAUUGAUAUUUAAUCUCGCUGGCAAAUCGUGACGGAUAUGAUACAUUAACAAUGAUAUAUAACGCCUUAACGUUUGAGCUUUGAUAAGCAGCGAUCGCGAUUUAAUAUUUUUUUUUUAGUUAUUUUGCGAUUCGAAAUGUUUGAUAUUAAAUAAUGUAUAAAAAUCAUAUUCAAAAUGAAUUUAAAAACCGUUUUAGUAAAUAAAUAUGUUGGCAAAAUGCGUGGCUUAAAACUAAACAGGCUAAAAUGCUUACACAAAAAACUGAAUGUUUCGAAUAACACACAGACAAUCUGUAGAUAAUACAUAAAAAAAACACGCAUGCUCAGAAUUACACGAAAACAUUUCAUAACUUUUACUGUGUA